UCAUUUUUAAAGCGUUCAAUAUACUCCAAAGUAAUUUUCUUUCCCACUUCUAGUUACCAGAAGUUUCCUUGAUCCUGUCAGAAACGCGUGUUUCAGCGAGCAAGACGUAAGUCACGUUCACAUCGUCGAGGAGUCUGGUACCCGCGAACACCAUACCGCGACACAAUACCUCACGGUUACACGCACACGUACGCGUGCUCUUAAAACAGUUGUGCCGCCUAUAUUCCCUGCGGGAAGAAUCCAGAGGGAGUCGAUCGUUGGACGUUCUCCACGUAGGAUUGGAUGCGGGACUCCACACGCCAGCUCCUCUAUCGGCAAAAAUUCACCCGGCUCUCGGAUGUGGACGUCUCUGCAAAUGAUUUUUGUCGAUGACAGUGCUGCUGGGUUCUCACCGUGGGUGCUCAUCGGUGAGCAUCCCUCGCACACGCACUCCGCGUAUUUGCGUACCCCGAAAUAGCCGUACCCUCCUCCCUGCUUCGUCAGACGGCCCAGGGGACGAGGAUGAGGACGCUGAAGAGGUGGACCAAGCAGCGAGGCCGGGGCGAGGGGGUAGGAACCGAGCGUGUAUACCGCAAAACCAGUUCGCUGAAAUGAAAUUUUAUAGUCCGCCUUGCGGACCGGGAGGGGCAUUCGCGUCACCGAACAUACGUGGGAGCUGCUAUACAUCGGGCGCCCGGCCCCACGGCUACGCUCCUGCCAGGACAAAUGCCUCCGCUACGUGGAUCACUCCGACGUGAGUCUCUUCGAAUCUCGAAAUAGGAUCCGUUAUCGUUACCUACGCGCCCUUGCCAUCGACAUAUAGGUAAACGGUUUGGACAUCUAUUAUAACACUCGGUUUUCAGAAGCUCGAAACUCUUGAGCAAAUAAGAUCACCGAUAAAACAGAAGCGAAGAGGACAAUUGUGAGAUAGGAGAUGGUAAGGCUGAUAUUUAACAAGAGAGAUAGUAAAAUCGUCGGAUUGAUGGGUUUUAGAUUUUCCGUUUUUGAGAUUUGUGGAGACUUUUGAUGGAUUGGAAACAUGAUCAUAUGUCAUCAUAGUUUGAUUAUAAUUACCUAUAUAUAUUAUAAUAUAUACAGAUAGAUAUUGUUUGUUGCCUUAUGUUGUUGGUAUUCUGUUUCAUCUGUUUUAUUUUUUCGCUAGACUUGUUACUGCUAUGCUAAGAAACAGUUAUCAACAGUAGUAAUAUGUAAUUUUUGAACGUUUAAUUAUCAAAAAGUACCAUUUCGAUGCCUGAAUCUAGAACAUGCCUUUAAAUUUCAAUAACGUAAAGAAGUACCGAGUCACAAAGUUCGAAGAUCUUCGAAUUACGAGGGGAAUGUUACUGAGAAAUCUGACGAUUAUUUUCUCCGAAAUCGUUCUCGGUUUCCAGCACGAUCUCGAGCGAGAAGACCCAGCGGGUGGCUCGCGUCACGAGAAUGCAGCUCGUAGCGGCGAAGCUCAUUACGUUGACGUGUGCGUAAGAACUUCGUACACGCGAUGUAAUCGCGCUGAUGAAACUGACGCGCGGAAUGAUGCGCUACACGGCUCGUCAUAUUGAAACAGGAGAAAAAGGAGGGAAGAAAAAAAUGGCAGCGGUGUAUGGAGAGUAUCUAUCUCGAAGCGCGGAACAGUGCUGGUUUAAAUCGCGCAGGAAGAUCGGCCAGAGAUUAUGUCGCGUACGGCAGCCACUCAAGUGUCGCAGUUGCACGUCGUUAAUGCGAGGCAGGUGCUAACGCGGAGAGAAAGAGACGACAGGGAGAAGGUGGCGGUGAAGGAGAAGAAGAGAAGAUGCGCCCGGAUCCCGUCCUCCCCCUAAUUGACAAAUUGGAAUCUUAUUAGAAGCUCGUGAUGCCGGAGGUACCCGAGGCAGGAGGAGCCUCGAGGCCUCUCUCGUUGGCAGGGAGGAGAAAGACCGAGUAGCGUAAAGGAGAUAGAGAAAGUGAGACAGGUAGCGACAGAAUAGCCGUGAAAGACGAGGAAAGAACGAGGGGCAUAAUGCGUGGAUGGCACGACACUAACAGGUUGUACGGCCCACGGUGGAACGGAGAGAAGAAGUACCUUAUGCUCGGCCUGCCGGCCGGCAGGCGAAUGCCACCCAGGAAGCGUUCGCGCGUGCGCGAUCUGUGUGGCCUCGGCUGGACUCGACCACCGGGCCCAGCCGAGGACGCACGAGCUGGGCCGAUUUAGCACGAGGACGCCCGAAGCCGACGUGUGCUGGCCCACCCGGUAGAGCGCGCGCGUGCCGCGUCCUGUGUGGUCUUACGUUCGCUUCUUCGCUCUUCCUAUUCUUCCUUACUGGCUCUUCCUUCUCCGUUACGCUCUCGCCGCGUCCUUUUUCUCGCUCCUCUCUCUCCGUUUCACCUUCAUCCUUCUCUCUCUCUCCCGCAUUCCAUUUUUUUUCUUACUCCUCGCGUCGUCCCUCUUUUUUUUUCUUCUUUUGUUUCUUCCGCGCACUCUUUUUUCUCUUUUUCUACGGAUUCACCGCGUUUUUCUCGUUUUCUCGCUGCUUGCACGUCUCUCCUCUCUUUCCACCAUGGAAUUCUUGCUUGUUCCGCUGCGAGAACUUCUUGCUCAACUUCGCUCUCCUUCCCAGCCGACUGCUGCUCUUCGCUGCUACGAGACACGGCUACGUGCUCGUCGUCCUUUCUCUCUUGGCGGAUCGCGGGGUUCGCCCCCACCUUCUCCUUCGUCUGCGACGCUGCUACACAUGGUCCACGCUGUCUCUUGGCUCGGUCCGGGCCGCGAAGAUGAGGUGGCCCCGAAGACGAACACUAAAGGAGGGUGGAGGUGCUGACAGUGGCGUAAGUAACGAAGGAUCGUGUAGAUCGCGCGAUAUUGCCGCCGACAGGACCGCGAAAUGGAAUUCUAAUUAGGUGGCCUCCUCGUUACCAACCACGAAACGGGACAGUCAGCCUGGGAAUCUAAAUGGCCGGGCCAAUUUGUACACGAUCAUGGAGUUAUUGUAUACUUUUCCAUUGUGUUGCGUCAAUAGAAGUUGACUCUCAAAGGAUUUAUCGAAUCUGUUUUCUAUUAGUAGAAAAGGGGAACCCAUUCGGUAGCCCUUUUGUUGUUUUUCACGUUUCACUUCUUCCGUGGAAUAUUUUUCAGGUCUAAGGCGGUGAUCUACGUAAAAGAGCUACGCUUGAAAGGGGCCAUGCGUCUCCAUUAUUGCUAUUCGUCGCGAGAAACGGUUCCUCGUGUCACGUUCACAAGGGCCAUGUAGAAUUUUAUCUACGUCAGUGGGCAAAGAAAGGAGAUGAGGUGGUUCCGAUCCAAGCUCUGCGCCCUCUUGCUUUUUCACUUCCCUCGGAACUUCUCGGAUUAUUAAUCCAGCGACGAGAGAGGAUCCGUGGCGUUCGCGGAGAUUAUGGGCUCGAGAGCAUGGCCAAGGUGCUGCUACGUUAACAAGCAUCAAUAGGCCGAAAGAGGAACGAGAAGGCGCAGGGAUUGUAAAAUGUGAUUCCGAGGAUGAAAGAUCGCGCUUUGCUCUAUCUCUUUAUCUACGCGAUAUCCCUUCGAAAAAGUAGCGAAACGGGAGUAUACGUGCAAAAUUGAUCCGUAGGCAGUACACCGAGUCGAUUUGAUUUUAGAAAUGGCUUUUGGAUUCUUCGUUAGCCAUGUAUGUAUUAUUUUCUUACUGGUUAGCAUUUAGUUUUUCUUUGGUUCUGAAUGAAUUCUCUAUUCGUAGAUUAUUGCGAACAGAUGUAAUGUAUUUACGAGGAAAUAAUC